AGUGAACGCUGGCGGUAGGCCUAACACAUGCAAGUCGAACGGCAGCACAGUAAGAGCUUGCUCUUUCGGGUGGCGAGUGGCGGACGGGUGAGGAAUACAUCGGAAUCUACUUUUUCGUGGGGGAUAACGUAGGGAAACUUACGCUAAUACCGCAUACGACCUACGGGUGAAAGCAGGGGAUCUUCGGACCUUGCGCGAUUGAAUGAGCCGAUGUCGGAUUAGCUAGUUGGCGGGGUAAAGGCCCACCAAGGCGACGAUCCGUAGCUGGUCUGAGAGGAUGAUCAGCCACACUGGAACUGAGACACGGUCCAGACUCCUACGGGAGGCAGCAGUGGGGAAUAUUGGACAAUGGGCGCAAGCCUGAUCCAGCCAUACCGCGUGGGUGAAGAAGGCCUUCGGGUUGCAAAGCCCUUUUGUUGGGAAAGAAAAGCAGCAGGUUAAUACCCCGCUGUUCUGACGGUACCCAAAGAAUAAGCACCGGCUAACUUCGUG
rnacentral:rRNA from 1 species